AGAGUUUGAUCCUGGCUCAGGACGAACGCUGGCGGCGCGCCUAACACAUGCAAGUCGAACGGAGUCAAGAGGAGCUUGCUUUUCUUGACUUAGUGGCGAACGGGUGAGUAACGCGUGAGUAACCUGCCCUGGAGUGGGGGACAACAGUUGGAAACGACUGCUAAUACCGCAUAAGCCCACGGAUCCGCAUGGAUCUGCGGGAAAAGGAUUUAUUCGCUUCAGGAUGGACUCGCGUCCAAUUAGCUAGUUGGUGAGGUAACGGCCCACCAAGGCGACGAUUGGUAGCCGGACUGAGAGGUUGAACGGCCACAUUGGGACUGAGACACGGCCCAGACUCCUACGGGAGGCAGCAGUGGGGGAUAUUGCACAAUGGGGGAAACCCUGAUGCAGCGACGCCGCGUGGAGGAAGAAGGUUUUCGGAUUGUAAACUCCUGUCGUUAGGGACGAUAAUGACGGUACCUAACAAGAAAGCACCGGCUAACUACGUGCCAGCAGCCGCGGUAAAACGUAGGGUGCAAGCGUUGUCCGGAAUUACUGGGUGUAAAGGGAGCGCAGGCGGACCGGCAAGUUGGAAGUGAAAACUAUGGGCUCAACCCAUAAAUUGCUUUCAAAACUGCUGGCCUUGAGUAGUGCAGAGGUAGGUGGAAUUCCCGGUGUAGCGGUGGAAUGCGUAGAUAUCGGGAGGAACACCAGUGGCGAAGGCGACCUACUGGGCACCAACUGACGCUGAGGCUCGAAAGCAUGGGUAGCAAACAGGAUUAGAUACCCUGGUAGUCCAUGCCGUAAACGAUGAUUACUAGGUGUUGGAGGAUUGACCCCUUCAGUGCCGCAGUUAACACAAUAAGUAAUCCACCUGGGGGAGUACGACCCGCAAGGUUGAAACUCAAAAGGAAUUGACGGGGGGCCCGCACAAGCAGUGGAAGAAUGUGGGUUUAAUUUCGAAGCAACGCGAAGAACCUUACCAGGUCUUGACAUCCGAUGCAUAGUGCAGAGAUGCAUGAAGUCCUUCGGGACAUCGAGACAGGUGGUGCAUGGUUGUCGUCAGCUCGUGUCGUGAGAUGUUGGGUUAAGUCCCGCAACGAGCGCAACCCUUAUUGCCAGUUACUACGCAAGAGGACUCUGGCGAGACUGCCGUUGACAAAACGGAGGAAGGUGGGGAUGACGUCAAAUCAUCAUGCCCUUUAUGACCUGGGCUACACACGUACUACAAUGGCGUUUAACAAAGAGAAGCAAGACCGCGAGGUGGAGCAAAACUCAAAAACAACGUCUCAGUUCAGAUUGCAGGCUGCAACUCGCCUGCAUGAAGUCGGAAUUGCUAGUAAUCGCGGAUCAGCAUGCCGCGGUGAAUACGUUCCCGGGCCUUGCACACACCGCCCGUC
rnacentral:rRNA from 1 species